UUUUCUUCCGAGUACUGGUCGAGUUUGGGAUGCUCCGUGAAGCGAGGAAAGUCUUUGAGAAGAUGUUGAGUUACGGAUUGGUUCUCUCUGUUGAUUCAUGUAACUUAUACCUUUCGAAAGAAAAAACUGCAACGGCUGUUAUAGAUUACGGAGUGGUUCUCUCUGUUGAUUCAUGUAACUUAUACCUUUCGAAAGAAAAAACUGCAACGGCUGUUAUAGUAUUCAAAGAGUUUCCUGAGGUGGGUGUUUGUUGGAACGUCGCUUCGUAUAACAUUGUGAUUCAUUGCGUUUGUCAGCUUGGGAG
rnacentral:lncRNA from 1 species